CCUACGGGAGACAGCAGUGGGGAAUAUUGCACAAUGGGGGAAACCCUGAUGCAGCGACGCCGCGUGAGUGAAGAAGUAUCUCGGUACGUAAAGCUCUAUCAGCAGGGAAGAAAAUGACGGUACCUGACUAAGAAGCCCCGGCUAACUACGUGCCAGCAGCCGCGGUAAUACGUAGGGGGCAAGCGUUAUCCGGAUUUACUGGGAGGAAAGGGGGCGUAGACGGCUGAACAAGGCUGGAGGGAAAUCCCGGGGGUUAAACCCGGAACUGCUUUGGAAACUGUGGGGCUGGAGUGCAGGAGGGGUAAGCGGAAUUCCUAGUGUAGCGGUGAAAUGCGUAGAUAUUAGGAGGAACACCGGUGGCGAAGGCGGCUUACUGGACUGUAACUGACGCUGAGGCUCGAAAGCGUGGGGAGCAAACAGGAUUAGAUACCCUAGUAGUC
rnacentral:rRNA from 1 species